AAUUCCAUUUAGCUUGGACCUCAAAUUAAACAUCGAUAAAGCAAAACACACUUGAACAUCUUGAUGGGCCUUUUUUGAACACAUGCCCAAUGAACAAACGCCCAGCCCACAAUGAUUUCUUCUUCUCCUUCUUCGAUACACCAAAGACGGUUUGUAAACACAAAACACAUCAAUCAACAGAUUAUACCUUUGAUUAGCAAAUAGAAAAACUCCCAAAGCUUCACUCCCUAAACCCUAAUUUUCCGAUGUCGGUGUUCCUUCCCGAUUCUUCUUCAAUUUCGAAAUUUUGUUUGUUCUGCGCAAUAAUUGAUAGUAUGAUUUGAACGAUGAAUCGAUGGACAUUGUGGUGAUUCAGAUCUUCGAGUACAAUGAAAGUGCCGUCGACGCUAUGGAAGGGAAAAACUGCUUCGCUAUUGCCAGUGAUCAGAGGCAUGGUGUGCAAUUACAAACCAUCGCUACCGAUUAUUUGUGAAUCUAUAAGAUCCACGAUUAACUCUUCAUCGGACAUUCCGGUCUCGCUACUGAUGUCCAAACAUUGUACCAACGACUCGUAUUUCGUCAUAAUUAUAUCAGCUUAGGGAAGAAAGAGACAUAAAGCCAGAAACUUUCGCUAGUCUUGUAUCUGCCAUUCUUUAUGAGAAAAGAUUUGGUCCAUACUUGUGUCAACUUGUGAUUGCUGAAUUGAGAGAUGAUAACAAACCCUUCACUUGCACAAUGGAUUCGAUUGCAGCCAAAUUCUAAGGAUCUGAGAUAGAAUCUCCAAUCAAAUCUUUGUUGAUGUCAUGAAGAACAAUAUGAAUGGAAAAUGAAAAAGAGGAAUAAUAAAGUUAAAAUCGAUUUGAUGCAGAGAGUUUCAAUUAAGGAAGGAUCCGAUUCAAAAAAUUCGGGUCAAAAUCACAAAUAAGGUAGGAUCCGAUUGACAUAUUUCCGGGUCAAAAACAUUAAAUAUCCAAAAAUUAAAAAAAAUUUGACCCGAUUAGGAUCCCUUAAAAGUGUUGCAAAAAUAUAUAGUAGAUUAACGGCAAAAACAGGCCAUUAACGACUGUUUAGUGUUUUAAACGGAGUUAACAUGGACUGUUAAUUAAUCUUAGUUUGAGGACAGAUUUAGGGACUUGAAGAUUUAUAAUGGGAUUUUUCCUUACAAAUAUUCGUAGACCACCUCUCGAAUGUAUCUAGUAAUCUCUACCCACCUAAGAUAGUUUCAGUAAUAGUUGAACUCUCGAAUCUAUUUAUUAUCCUAUGAUCAAGUUCUAGUUAGCUACUCUAUAACUAGCAUUAAGAACAACCUAUGGUGAAGAACUCUAAAGAUUAAUCCUAACAGGUAAUCUAAUUACUACUUCAUCUAAAUCGCUAAUGAGAAUCCCUAAACCUAACAAGAAGAUUACUCAGACAUGAUUAAUGAAACAAAAAAAACAUGUUUGAAUAGAUUGCAAAACAAGAAAUCAAAAGAAGAAUACAGUUUAGAAUAAAUUUUCUCUCUACAAAGAUUUUUUAAUCUCUGAAAGUAGCUCUCUCCAAUUAUAUUCCAAAGGAUUCAAGCUCAGAGAAUUACAAAGCCAAAAGCAAGAUGCAAGAUAAUCAAUAAUAAAAACCCUAAAAAUUAUUUAUAAUGUCUCCAAAAACGUGUAGGGACUAAAGUUGGAAAGAAGGAAGUCUUCUGGGUUAAUUCUUCGGGCUUUAAAACUCUUAAACCAUCGAGACUUUUGCUGGGCUGCGUGUGGUGUCGAUCGACACCAGGGGUGUCGGUCGACACUCAUGCCUUGGUCUGAUUCCGAUUUCGUUCCUUCAUGUGUCGGUCGACACCAGAAUGGUUCCUUAUCUCCAAAAUUGUCCCGAACGUGUAAAAACCUGAAAAGACUUAAAAAGACACUAGAAACAACAAAAAGACUCUAAAACUGACGCAUAUAUCAUGGCUUAAAUCGGUAAAAUCUGUGAUAUGUCAACUCCCUCAGACUUAGCUUUUGCUUGCCCUCAAGCAAAAUACACAAACUGAACCCGUGGAAGAAGUUUGAAAACAUCAAAACUCCCAAUUUCUCCAGCCUAUUACCUUGAUUAUUCAAACCAAAUCCAAAUGCCUAGCAGAUUGCAUCAAAUCCUAAUCACCAUGUAAUUCUUCGCAAGCAUUCUCAAUAUUCCAAAUUCCAAACCAAAUUCCCCAACCAUAUCCUAUAGCCCUCAUUGCAUAAAUCUCAUCAAUAAAAUCAGUACUCAAAAACCUUAUAGACUCAUUUCCGUACUAUACCAUGGUAAAUCAACCAUUUCAACAUAUUGCAGUACUCUAUCUCUCCCCACACUUAUUCUUUUUCGAACUUUUUUUAUUUUAAACUUCAAAGGUGUAGGCAAAUAAUGGUAUCAUCGUAAAUUUUCCUAACCUCGCUUCCAAUCUUCGUGUGAUCAUCCUUCUUGAAGUAAAAUAAUGAGUUUACUAAAAAAAUUCCUAUCUCUUUACUUCAAAAGAAAAUCAUCACAAUCUUUGUUUUUUAUGUAUAAGGUAGAGGAAUACCAUCUUUUUCCACAUAGGUCUCAUUUAUCAGGUAUGAACGAGGAGUCAAGUUCUGAGAAUACUAACCGGAUUGAGGAGGUGAAGAUCAUGAACUUUGCUCAGGCUUUAGCGGAUUGUGUUGGAAAUUAACGUGGAUGUCUUCUGGUCUAUAGAUUAACUCUCUUGAUUUUCCAUUAAUCAUAUUGAAUUGAAUCUGCAGCAUUAAACUAACCAGGCAAUUAUCUAGAGAAAAAUAUCAUAUUUUCUAACAGAUCAUAAUCUCAAUAAAACGACUCAAAAGAUCAUAAUCUCAAUAAAACGACUCAAAAGAAAAAGAAAAAUAAGAAUAAGACUCAAAAAGAAAAAUGAUAUAUCACGGAUUUUACCGAUUUUAACCGUGAUAUAUGUAUUGUUUUUAGAGUCUUUUUGUUGUUUCUAGUAUCUUUUUGAAUCUUUUCAGGUUUUUACACGUUCGGGACAAAAGUGGAGAAAAGGAAUCAUUAUGGAGCUAAACCGAGGAUUUGGAGCUGAGGAGACGAAUCCGGUUCGAACCAAGGCAUGAGUGUCGACCGACACCCUUGGUGUCGCUCGACACCAAACACUGCCCAGCAAGAAGUCUCGACGGUUUAGAGUUUUAAAGCCCGCAGAAUUUACCCAGAAGACUUUCUUAUUUGCAAUUUUAGUCUCUGCACGUUUUUGAGACAUUAUAAAUAGUUUUUAGGGUUUAUUUAUUUCAUUAUCUGGUCUUUGGCUUUUGUAAUUCUCUGAGCUUGAACCCUUUGGAAGAUAAUUGGAGAGAGCUACUUUCAGAGA